GUCUGGUGCCAGCAGCCGCGGUAAUUCCAGCUCCAAUAGCGUAUAUUAAACUUGUUGCAGUUAAAAAGCUCGUAGUUGAAUUUCUGCGUUAUCGAGUUAUUGACUCUUGUCUUUAAUCGAUUUCGCUUUUGGGAUUUAUCCCUUUUUACUUUGAGAAAAUUAGAGUGUUUCAAGCAGACUUUUGUCUUGAAUACUUCAGCAUGGAAUAAUAGAGUAGGACUUUGGUUCUAUUUUGUUGGUUUUUGAACCUUAGUAAUGGUUAAUAGGAACGGUUGGGGGCAUUCGUAUUUAACUGUCAGAGGUGAAAUUCUUAGAUUUGUUAAAGACGAACUACUGCGAAAGCAUUUGCCAAGGACGUUUCCAUUAAUCAAGAACGAAAGUUAGGGGAUCGAAGACGAUCAGAUACCGUCGUAGUCCUAC
rnacentral:rRNA from 1 species